CUCCCGCCGGCGACCGGCGCACGGGUGAGUAACACGUAUGAAACCUGCCCGUAGCAGGGGGAUAAGCGGAAGAAAUUCCGUCUAAUACCGCGUAACAACCCGAGGAGGCAUCUCCUCGGGUUUAAAGGAAGCGAUUCCGGCUACGGAUGGUCAUGCGUCGCAUUAGCUAGUUGGCGGGGUAACGGCCCACCAAGGCGACGAUGCAUAGGGGUUCUGAGAGGAAGGUCCCCCACACUGGUACUGAGACACGGACCAGACUCCUACGGGAGGCAGCAG
rnacentral:rRNA from 1 species